GAUGAACGCUAGCUACAGGCUUAACGCAUGCAAGUCGAGGGGCAGCAUGACGGAAGCUUGCUUCCGUUGAUGGCGACCGGCGCACGGGUGAGUAACGCGUAUCCAACCUGCCCUUGUCCAUCGGAUAACCCGUCGAAAGGCGGACUAACACGAUAUGCAGUUCUCAGCAGGCAUCUAACGAGAACGAAAUGUGAAGGAGAAGGAUGGGGAUGCGUCUGAUUAGCUUGUUGGCGGGGUAACGGCCCACCAAGGCGACGAUCAGUAGGGGUUCUGAGAGGAAGGUCCCCCACAUUGGGACUGAGACACGGUCCAAACUCCUACGGGAGGCAGCAGUGAGGAAUAUUGGUCAAUGGGCGAGAGCCUGAACCAGCCAAGUAGCGUGCAGGAUGACGGCCCUAUGGGUUGUAAACUGCUUUUAUACGGGGAUAAAGUGGGCCACGUGUGGCUUAUUGCAGGUACCGUAUGAAUAAGGACCGGCUAAUUCCGUGCCAGCAGCCGCGGUAA
rnacentral:rRNA from 1 species